rnacentral:tRNA from 1 species
GCGGUUGUAGUGUAGUCCGGUCAAUCAUGUUGGCUUCUCGAGCCAACGACCCGGGUUCAAAUCCCGGCAACCGCA